rnacentral:ncRNA from 1 species
ACUUUUACCUUGAGAAAAUUAGAGUGUUCAAAGCAGGCCUAUGCCCGAAUACAUUAGCAUGGAAUAAUGAAAUAGGACGUGCGGUUCUAUUUUGUUGGUUUCUAGAGUCGCCGUAAUGAUUAAUAGGGACAGUUGGGGGCAUUAGUAUUCAGUUGCUAGAGGUGAAAUUCUUGGAUUUACUGAAGACUAACUAUUGCGAAAGCAUUUGCCAAGGAUGUUUUCAUUAAUCAAGAACGAAGGUUAGGGGAUCGAAAACGAUCAGAUACCGUUGUAGUCUUAACAGUAAACUAUGCCGACUAGGGAUCGGGCUGCCGGAAGGUACCCGUGAACACAAGUCGAAGUCAGUUCUGGGGGCGUUUUCUUUGGGUACGGGGGUGAUUUUGCAAGUUCGAAACUCAAGGAAUUGACGGAGGAGUGUACACUCAACACUCUAAUCCUAC